UGGCGGCAUGCCUGACNCAUGCAAGUCGAACGAAGCCUUCGGGCUUAGUGGCGCACGGGUGCGUAACNCGUGGGAAUCUGCCCUUAGGUACGGAAUAACAGUUAGAAAUGACUGCUAAUACCGUAUGAUGACUCCGGUCCAAAGAUUUAUCGCCUAAGGAUGAGCCCGCGUCGGAUUAGCUAGUUGGCGGGGUAAAGGCUCACCAAGGCGACGAUCCGUAGCUGGUCUGAGAGGAUGAUCAGCCACACUGGGACUGAGACACGGNCCAGACUCCUACGGGAGGNAGCAGUGGGGAAUAUUGGACAAUGGGCGAAAGCCUGAUCCAGCAAUGCCGCGUGAGUGAAGAAGGNCUUAGGGUUGUAAAGCUC
rnacentral:rRNA from 1 species